AAUUAUUUCUAAUUUAUAUUAGUAUAUGAAGUGUAAUCGAAUUGAGAUUAUCAUUAUUUUGUGUUAAUUAUAGUCUAUAUAAUUAUUAUAUGUACUACUUGAUGUUCAUGACAUUUCAAAAUGGCCGUUUACGAAUGUCUCUAGUAUGUUAUGACUUUUAUUAAUAUUAAACUUAUCAUUUAUCCGUUAAUUAUUUGUAAUUUAUUUUAGUAGAUAGAGUGUAAUCGAACUGAAAUUGUUUCUACAAUUCUAUUCUUCAACGCUGUGUCGCUCGCUUGGAAUCGUUAUACGGCGUGUGUUAGUAUCAUCUAAUUCUUCGUUACAUUGUCAAUGCUUAUUAUAACUACCUUUACUUAUCCUAAAACUUUUCCUGUCGGUCAUUGGUAAUAUCUGUUUCAGCACUCCAUAAGUAUUUACUUAAAUUUGGUAGUAAGUUCCUUAUAACUGUGUUGGCUUCUGCGUAUACCCUUUGAUGUUAUGAUGGUUUACCUCAAUAGUUAUUGCCUUCGGUAUUCUUGUACCUGUGAGUAGAGUGGUCUCAAAAUUUUCCACUGGGCAACCGUAAGUCUUGUUAACUUGAAAUUGUAAUUGUAGGGCAUCCAUUAUUAACCGGUAUUCUUGCUUCUUUUAGUUUAAUAGUAAUAUUGCUGUAGAUCCUUCAUAUAUAUCAAGGCAGCUGAGGUUAGUUUAUCCGUUCG